AGUACAAAAUACAGAAAUAAAUGACAUACAGAUAACAAAUUGCAAAACAGUACAUAAAAUAAAAUAGGAGAAAACACAAGAAAUUCCUUCCAUAUAUUUACCCCAUAUAGAAUUCUUGUGGGAGUCUUAGAUGGUAUAGAUCUCCUAGAAGUUACUGACAAAAAGAAAAAUGAAUAACUGACUUCCCUGGAUAGUCCAACACCCUCAUAUAUCUAAACUAGCUGUUUCUCAGUGGGCAGACCCCUGGGGGGGGGAUCAGAGGGGGCUGGUCUGGCAGUCUAUUGCCCACUCUAUGAAAUUCCUUGUGUCCAGCUCUGGUGAUGGCUAUCUAGAUGUUUUAUGGUCUAGGC